GUUAUUGCUGGUUUUUUUUUUUUUUUUUUUUUUUGAAAUAACAGCGCUGUUUCGCGGUCCGCACGUCACGUUGACGUUACAAAGCCGCCCGUGGCCGUUUGCGUCACAACGUUCCGUAAUUGGCAGCAAAUGGGCUCAGCAAAUGGGCUUUAAUUCCAUUUGCGCAAUCAACGGCCCGUAAACGUAACGGUCAUGCCGAGAGAGGAUCGACAGUCGAUGCCUGUCAGAAGCGUCGGCCGGUCGGCCUCGCGUUAGAUAACAAAAUUACCUGCCACUUUUUGCGGCUUGCAUUUAAUUAACGCACCUUCGAUUCAAUUUUCACGACGGCGCAGCCUGCAGAAAAUCCGCGCGAAUUCUUCGAAUGGCGAUCUACGUGAAACGAUCUUAAAAUGGUUUAAGGACGAAGGCAAAACGCGGUCCGGAUUACUUCGUGAGUCCACUUUGAUCCGAAAAAGCAGUCAACUCCCUCCGCCCUCGUGCUGUCGGCUGGUACCAAUCGCGCCCCGUCUGCAGCUUUUAAAAGUCCGAUCGAACGGCGCCACAAAGAGGAUAAAUGCGACUGACAGACAACGAAGUUCGGAGAACAAGUGGACGGCCCUAUGAGCUGAACCGGUGCAGGGAAACACAGCGGAGGAUGAGGCGGAGUAGGAGUAGGGCGGAGGUGCCAAAGGUAUAGGAAGGAAGAGAAAGUGAAAGAAGCGAGGGGAAGGAAAAAGAGAGAAGGCCUAUUCACGAUUGUGCUGUCGUAAAUAGGUUAAACGGCAGGUCGAGAGGGCAGCCAAUUUAAAUCACCGCCAAUUCUGUGCAGUCCAAUUCGAUUCCAGUGAGAUCGUUUUGAAACCACCCGACGGCACUUCCAUUUUCACUUUCUCUGUUUUCCGCCUUCCCACUCUUCGACCUGUGCCAUCCACGAGCUCGAUAUCAUCCGCGAUUGUAGCAACAAUGAGUCAACUUUCGAGCUAUUUUCUCGCUGUUUGAUUUGCGCUUCGACGCUCGCGCAAGCUCGGCACGUUCGAGGCGAGCACGACGUCGUCCGUCCUCGAGUAAUCAACAUUCGACUGCACUCGUCACCGCAAAUGUAUUGUACUCGCCCGAGUUGUUUGGUACGCAUGCUGGUACUUGCGCUCGCUAGUUUAAUUUCGAUUACAGGUGCUGCCCUUCGUCGCGCAAAUGUAACAACGACGCGUGCGUAUUAUGCGGGCCAAUUUAUGCGCAACGCAAUUAUCGUACGUUGUAGCCGGAAAUAGACGAUUUUUAGGAGUCAGUUUAAGAGUUGUCUGUUAUCCCCGCGGGAGUUUCUCAAAAAAACUAUAAUAACAUCGCAGAAAAUUAAUGCUUGUGAAUAAGCUCACGAGUCACUUCUGGUCAAUAUUAGAGUCAAUUUUUCAGAAUAAAACAUGCAAUAAAAUUUAUAUUCCAAUUGGUUAGAAUAUAUAUUUAUGCUUUUUAAUAAUUAAUUAAUUAUUGGAAUUUUUUAAUUAACGUAUCUAGAGUAAUCGGAUCGUAAAAUAUUAACUCUGUCAUAAGUAUUUAAAAUUGCAACAUCUCGAAAGGACAAGUAUCAUAUCGGGCUUGUGCGCGUUCUCGAUAUCCAGUGCACCGCGAAAAA